GGCCCCAUAGUCUAGUGGCAGAACACCUCGUUUACACCGAGGAAGCUCAAGUUCGAUUCUUGGUGGGGCCA
rnacentral:tRNA from 1 species